rnacentral:rRNA from 1 species
UACGGAGGGAGCUAGCGUUGUUCGGAAUUACUGGGCGUAAAGCGCACGUAGGCGGCUUUGUAAGUUAGAGGUGAAAGCCCGGGGCUCAACUCCGGAACAGCCUUUAAGACUGCAUCGCUUGAAUCCAGGAGAGGUGAGUGGAAUUCCCGAGUGUAGAGGUGAAAUUCGUAGAUAUUCGGAAGAACACCAGUGGCGAAGGCGGCUCACUGGACUGGUAUUGACGCUG